rnacentral:rRNA from 1 species
CAGCAGCCGCGGUAAUACGUAGGUGGCAAGCGUUGUCCGGAAUUAUUGGGCGUAAAGGGCUCGCAGGCGGUUUCUUAAGUCUGAUGUGAAAGCCCCCGGCUCAACCGGGGAGGGUCACUGGAAACUGGGAAACUUGAGUGCAGAAGAGGAGAGUGGAAUUCCACGUGUAGCGGUGAAAUGCGUAGAGAUGUGGAGGAACACCAGUGGCGAAGGCGACUCUCUGGUCUGUAACUGACGCUGAGGAGCGAAAGCGUGGGGAGCGAACAGGAUUAGAUACCCCUGUAGUCCCUGUCUCUUAUAC